UCUAAUAGAUUCACCUUAGGUAUAAGUUCGAUUUUAAAAAUAGAAAAAAAAAAUGUUUAAUCUUUAGUAACUUUGUGUUUUGGCUCUAUCCUGCCUCGCGGUCUAUUUUAAAUAAAUGUUUAUCUAUUUGAAAUAAAGGACAAAAAUUUGUUGAGCACUUGGAAAAGUUUAGAGUUAAAGCGAACGAAAAUUGUGGUCCAUGAAUACCAUUAGUAGAAAAUUAAUUACGAAGAAAAUAAAAACAAAAUAUAAAAGCAAGCAAAUUUUUCAAGCUAAAGUGAGAGUUUUAUACUUUCUGCUACUCAUUGGCAACGCAAAAGAAAAGAAAAAAUUAAAUAAUAACAUUAUCUGCUGGAUAUCAAUGAGACUCAAAUGUUUGCAAUCAAACACACAAAAUCCCAGCCAUGUCGAAAAUAUUUCCUGUACAAAUUUAUUAGCAACAAAGUGAGUAAAAUUCAACUGUAUUUACUUAUACAUGGGCGAAGCGUGAUGAGGCAUUAAAACAACAAACGAUGUGCAUUGUUAGUGGCCAACUUAAAUCAAAUAGCAACAAAUAAAAGAAAAUAAAGUUGGUUGGACGCUGUGAAGAAGAAAAUUAAGCUUAAAGUCAUGAGAAGAGCAAAUAAGUUAAUGAGCAGUCAAGUUUCCCUCGUGACUACAGCGAACGAAGAUACGAAUCGGAUGAACUAUUUUUGGAAACACAUAGCAGUAUGUGUGAAAGUCUGUUGGAGAAUUGAGAGAAAAAAAUAAAAAAAAGGUAAACAAAGGUCAAUGAAAAACAAAAACCGAAAAGCACCGAAAUAAAAAGAACAAAAAAAUCACCUCAAGAAGCCAACAAAAAAACUAUGCGCCUAAGAAGCAGACACGCUAAUAAUUAUGAUACAAGCAUAACAAUGAUAACGAUCUGGAAGAAAGAGAGCGAGCAAGUGGAAGUGAAGCCACAAGGAAAACAACAAUGCGAGUAUUAAACCAAAACCAAACAGCAAUGCACCAGCACAGCGCUUAGUCUAAGAGGUUACUACUUAUACAGAUACAUACAUACAUACAUAGCGUCUAGAAGUGAAAAAGCAACACUGGAAUGUGAGGUGAGGCAUGAAAAAUGGGAUAAAGAAAAUAAUAUGGCAAUAACAACAAGAAAAGCAAUAACAAUGCAAGCUUAACCAAAGAGAAGCCAAAGGUAGAGGACAGAAAGUGAGCAAUCCAUAAGAAUAAGGGCAAUUGCCAAGCAGUCAAGGCCCGAACGAUGAGUCGACACUUGAAUGCCUCGAUCUGCGCGCCACUUGAGCAGGUGAUGGCGCUCAAUGACUACAAUGGAUGUGGUCAACCAUGCGUUGCAUGCCCUGCAGGGAAAACCUGUGUUGCGACAUAUGCCAUAUUAAUUUAGGAAAUUCUUUCGAUACUUAUGCCCAUUGUCAAGGUGACAUUUCGCACUAAAAAACAUCGUUUGCUGUUUUUUGUUUGUUCUAUUCAGCUGCGAG